rnacentral:rRNA from 1 species
UCCUACGGGGGGCAGCAGUGAGGAAUAUUGGUCAAUGGGCUUACGCCUGAACCAGCCAAGUCGCGUGAGGGAAAACUGCCCUAUGGGUUGUAAACCUCUUUUGUCAGGGAGCAACGCCGGCUACGUGUAGCCGGACUGAGAGUACCUGAAGAAAAAGCAUCGGCUAACUCCGUGCCAGCAGCCGCGGUAAUACGGAGGAUGCGAGCGUUAUCCGGAUUUAUUGGGUUUAAAGGGUGCGUAGGCGGAAUGCCAAGUCAGCGGUAAAAUCGCGGGGCUCAACUUCGCUCCGCCGUUGAAACUGGCGU